rnacentral:rRNA from 1 species
CUAAAUUCUCGACGGUGGAUAUCUUGGCUUCCGUUUCGAUGAAGAACGCAGCGAAGUGCGAUAAGCAAUGUGAAUUGCAGAACCGUGAAUCAUUAGAGUUUUGAACGCA